UAAUUGUUCACAACUUUCGAACGUGUUUUUGUCAAUCUCAUCCUCACUUUCCAAGAUCGAGACAAUAGCCAAAAUUUGUUCAAAGACUUGUCCUCCGAAAAAGCUUUCAAAGUGACCGAGAUUGAACUCAGGUUCAUUUUUUUUGUGCUUGACACCAAAGGAACAAUAACUUUUUCCCGCGCGGGCAGCUAUCUCCGCUUCAUCAAUCUUAGCAGCACUUUCUUAGUGCUGGUAUUCUCUUCUUUUGCCCAUGAGAAGAAUCACUCGAAGAAGAUUGAUUUAGCUAUAACUUUCUUAUUGCUAGCUGUAGCUAUUUUUCUUGAGCUCUAUGCAAUAAUUUCACUGGUCUCAUCAGAUGGACAGAUCUUUAUCUGAACAAGCAUCCAAAAUUCGAAAGGCCACUGCUCCUUUCCAGCGUCGUAAACAGCUACGGUGGUCAAAUUCCUUGGCACAACACAGCUUACUGAGCUUUUGCCUCAAAAGUAUGUCUAAAGUCAGCAUCAAAAUCCAGAAGCUUUUUGGCAUAGACAAAGUUCUGGGAGAACUCCAGCACAGGAGCAUGAAGGAAUUCUCUGAUGAUUUGAAGAAGUUAAUAUUGAACCAUCACAUGGAAAAAUUUCAACAUCUGAGUAGCAUAUUGAGAAGUGAGACACAGGCUGAAUCCACCAGAUAUGAGAGUGAGCUCAAAGCAUUGUGCGCCUGCCGAGGGGACCGUGUGCUUAAAAGUUUAGAAUUUUCGCAUGAUUUAAUUUGGAGUGUAGAAGUAGAUUUCGACCAUUGCUACAGAUCUCUGCCACCACUCUGACCCUGAUGAAGCCCAAAAAGAUAACUGCGAAAUAAGCAGGCAGCUAUCACACUAUACGCUGUAUCUCUUAGUCAUGCGUCCUUUCAUGUUGCCAAUGGGGAUUGGAAAGAUCAGAUAUCUUGAUACUGAUCUUUGAGGUGAUAUCCAAACUUCCAAUGGCAGGGCUCAGAAUUCCUGGCUUUUGACAAUCAAUCCUUUCAGCAAAGGGACGUCAAAGCUAGAUGAAAAAAAAGCAUGCGAGGUGUUGCUCAAUAUGAACACAGUAGUCCCACCAGUCAAAGUAAAAGGCGACAGAAGCAAACCGGUGCUAUUCGACGCGUGCAGGCUUGCAUCACAGUUGCGAAAAUUAUCAGAUGACAAAGGUGAAAAAUGGAAGCUAAUUGGUAAUGUUUGGGUGGAAAUGAUGGCUUAUGCAGCUAGAUGUUGUAGUGAACAUGAUCAUGCUCGGCAAUUGGGACAAGGCGGCGAACUUCUCACUCUUGUUUGGCUCCUGAUAGCACAUUUUGGUUUAACGGAGCAGUUUCAGAUAUCCCAGGGUCAUGCAAGGGCUAAGCUCAGCGUGCGAUAGAGGCACUGGUACUGCCAAGCCCAAGAGGAACACUAGUAUAUUAUCUCAAUAAAUUAAUGGUUGAUUUCAGCUUUGCAAUUUCCUUUCCUUUUCUGGUUUAGUGAUUUGACGUUUGUCCUUUGCCCUUUGCUCCCCCCUGGGAACUUAAAUUAAUCUCUGUAAUAAUCAGACAAUGUUUCCAUGCCCUCGUUAA